CGCGGUGGUCCCACCUGACCCCAUGCCGAACUCAGAAGUGAAACGCCGUAGCGCCGAUGGUAGUGUGGGGUCUCCCCAUGCAAGAGUAGGG
rnacentral:rRNA from 1 species